GAUGAACGCUGGCGGCGUGCCUAAUACAUGCAAGUCGAGCGAACAGAUGAGGAGCUUGCUCCUCUGACGUUAGCGGCGGACGGGUGAGUAGCACGUGGAUAACCUACCUAUAAGACUGGGAUAACUUCGGGAAACCGGAGCUAAUACCGGAUAAUAUAUUGAACCGCAUGGUUCAAUAGUGAAAGACGGUUUUGCUGUCACUUAUAGAUGGAUCCGCGCCGCAUUAGCUAGUUGGUAAGGUAACGGCUUACCAAGGCGACGAUGCGUAGCCGACCUGAGAGGGUGAUCGGCCACACUGGAACUGAGACACGGUCCAGACUCCUACGGGAGGCAGCAGUAGGGAAUCUUCCGCAAUGGGCGAAAGCCUGACGGAGCAACGCCGCGUGAGUGAUGAAGGUCUUCGGAUCGUAAAACUCUGUUAUUAGGGAAGAACAAAUGUGUAAGUAACUAUGCACGUCUUGACGGUACCUAAUCAGAAAGCCACGGCUAACUACGUG
rnacentral:rRNA from 1 species